rnacentral:lncRNA from 1 species
UUUCUUAAAGCUAUAAAAGGGACAAAAAGGUGGGAAUCAAGAAGAGCAUUCAAAAAGAGAGAUUUCGAAAAAAGAAUUUCAAGCAAACUUUUCAGCCCUAAGCAAGAGCUCAUUCAAAGCGUUCAAGAAGCCUUUAAUCCAAGCUCACCAACUUCUCAAGUGCACAUUCAAGUCUCCAACCACCUUGAGGAAAUCCAAAAAGGGUCUUCUUCUCUUGAGUAAAGUAUAUUUAAAGUCAUAUUCGCUCAUUAAAGGAGCUUUCUUUGUACUUAUUUGUGCUAUUGAUUGUUAUUCUCAUUUUGAGUUAUUAUUUUUGUUUUGGAAGGGUCCCAAAACAAGAGAAGGUUGAUCCGAACCUAGAAUCAGAGUGUAUUGGGUUGGCUUGUACCCGAGAAAUAAGUGGACUAGCUUGGAAUAGCUAGAGUCAGAGUUUUCGACGUUUGUAUUCGGGUUGAAUACAAGUUUAGUGGAUUGAAAUUCCCAAGUAGGAGCUUGGAGAGUGGAUGUAGGUGUAAGGUUGGCACCGAACUACUAUAAAUCUUUUUGUUUGGUGUGUGUCUAAUUGCUCUUCUUUAUCUCUUCAUUAUUCUCUUGCAUUCUUGCUCUUGCUAUUAGCCUUGAAUUAAUUCUACUCACCCUAUCUAUUUAGCAUUGUCAAACAUUUCUCACAAGUCAUAAGUUAAGCUUAAAAUUUUUAGAAACCCAAUUCACCCCCCCUCUUGGGUUGCAUAGCUGGGCAACACGUAGGAGUCCGGAUGAAGACUACCUGCAGCCAGAGUUUGGGGAAGAUGUCUGGCUCCCGUAGGAGUCCGGAUGAGGACUACCUGUAGUCGG